rnacentral:lncRNA from 1 species
GAGGGACAAGGGCUGGUUCUGUUCUCAUUGUUUCACUAGCUAUGGAUAGUUCUAGGUUUUGGCUCACAGUCCAGUUUUUGUUAAGGUGCUGAUGGAACACUUGCCAAUGGCCCGGUUCAGUGCUGAAUAGGAAGAAGAGCUGGCCAACUUGAGUUAUUACAUCUCUGCCACUCAAGGUGAUGUCAGAACAUGUUCCUUGGACCCAUUCAAGCCUGCUGUGGCACACUGAGAAGAGUUUGUGCCUGGACCAGAGGAAAACACAGAGGAGAGGGACACACAACCCCUUGAUUAUUUGAUUCCUCUCCUUGAAUGGAGGAGACAGAGUUCUCAAAGGACCAGAGGCAGCAGUAUUCCAAAGGGCAGAGCUAAGGUCAAGUACAGAGAAGGAAGGGGACAUUCAAGGCAAGAAGGCAGAGGGUCACAAAUGGAAGAAAGCAGCAACUGGCUGAGAAGUGGGGACUAGGAAGCAAGAGGAAAAAGACUUCAACCUGGAGGCUGGCGAGCCCUGCCAAAGAGCCUGAACCUGUUCUGACUGCUGCCUCUUCCCUGAAGCUAGGCAAGAUUUUCAGGUGUAAAUGCCCAGGGCCUGGUUGCACCCCAGUUUGGCUCUGCUAAAGGUGAAGGCUGGCUCACUUAUGUCUGAGACAUUGGUCUGAGCCCACAUGGCCACAGCAUGAGAAGAGUGGUCCAUGUGGGCUGGGAAGCCCUAUGUGUCCUGGA